AGAUUGAACGCUGGCGGCGUGCCUAACACAUGCAAGUCGAGCGGUAACAGGUGUAGCAAUACAUGCUGACGAGCGGCGAACGGGUGAGUAAUGCUUUGGAAUCUUCCCAGUAGUGGGGAAUAACCAGUCGAAAGAUUGGCUAAUACCGCAUACGUCUGUAAAGGGAAAGCGGGGGCUCGUAAGACCUCGCGCUAUUGGAUGAGCCAAAGUCGGAUUAGCUAGUUGGUGGGGUAAUGGCCUACCAAGGCGACAAUCCGUAGCUGGUCUGAGAGGACGACCAGCCGCACCGGAACUGAGACACGGUCCGGACUCCUACGGGAGGCAGCAGUGGGGAAUAUUGGACAAUGGGGGAAACCCUGAUCCAGCGACGCCGCGUGUGUGAAGAAGGCCUGCGGGUUGUAAAGCACUUUUAGUGGGGACAAAAGCUACGGAUUAAUACUCUGUGGUCUUGAUUUAACCCAAGAAAAGCACCGGCUAACUCUGCGCCAGCAGCCGCGGUAA
rnacentral:rRNA from 1 species